GUGGGGAAUUUUGGACAAUGGGCGCAAGCCUGAUCCAGCAAUGCCGCGUGCAGGAAGAAGGCUUUCGGGUUGUAAACUUCUUUGACAGGGGACGAAAGCAAUGACGGUACCCUGAAAACAAGCCACGGCUAACUACGUGCCAGCAGCCGCGGCAAUACGUAGGUGGCGAGCGUUGUCCGGAUUUACUGGGUGUAAAGGGCGUGUAGGCGGGGCGGUAAGUCAGAUGUGAAAUGUAGGGGCUCAACCCCUGAAUUGCAUUUGAAACUAUCGUUCUUGAGGGAAGGAGAGGCAGGCGGAAUUCCGUGUGUAGCGGUGAAAUGCGUAGAUAUACGGAGGAACACCAGUGGCGAAGGCGGCCUGCUGGACAUUAACUGACGCUGAGGCGCGAAAGCGUGGGGAGCAAACAGGAUUAGAAACCCGGGUAGUCC
rnacentral:rRNA from 1 species